rnacentral:rRNA from 1 species
GAUUGAACGCUGGCGGCAUGCCUUACACAUGCAAGUCGAACGGCAGCACGGGAGCAAUCCUGGUGGCGAGUGGCGAACGGGUGAGUAAUAUAUCGGAACGUGCCCAGUGAUGGGGGAUAGCCCGGCGAAAGCCGGAUUAAUACCGCAUACGACCUACGGGUGAAAGCAGGGGAUCGCAAGACCUUGCGUCAUUGGAGCGGCCGAUAUCAGAUUAGCUUGNGGUGGGGUAAAGCCUACCAAGGCGACGAUCUGUAGCUGGUCUGAGAGGACGACCAGCCACACUGGGACUGAGACACGGCCCAGACUCCUACGGGAGGCAGCAGUGGGGAAUUUUGGACAAUGGGCGCAAGCCUGGUCCAGCCAUGCCGCGUGCGGGAAG